UACGAAGGGGGCUAGCGUUGCUCGGAAUCACUGGGCGUAAAGGGUGCGUAGGCGGGUUAUUAAGUCAGAGGUGAAAUCCUGGAGCUCAACUCCAGAACUGCCUUUGAUACUGAGGAUCUUGAGUUCGGGAGAGGUGAGUGGAACUGCGAGUGUAGAGGUGAAAUUCGUAGAUAUUCGCAAGAACACCAGUGGCGAAGGCGGCUCACUGGCCCGAUACUGACGCUGAGGCACGGAAAGCGUGGGGAGCAAACAGGG
rnacentral:rRNA from 1 species